rnacentral:rRNA from 1 species
GAGCGGAGUGAUGGUGCUUGCACUAUCACUUAGCGGCGGACGNGGUGAGUAAUGCUUAGGAAUCUGCCUAUUAGUGGGGGACAACAUUUCGAAAGGAAUGCUAAUACCGCAUACGUCCUACGGGAGAAAGCAGGGGAUCUUCGGACCUUGCGCUAAUAGAUGAGCCUAAGUCGGAUUAGCUAGUUGGUGGGGUAAAGGCCUACCAAGGCGACGAUCUGUAGCGGGUCUGAGAGGAUGAUCCGCCACACUGGGACUGAGACACGGCCCAGACUCCUACGGGAGGCAGCAGUGGGGAAUAUUGGACAAUGGGCGCAAGCCUGAUCCAGCCAUGCCGCGUGUGUGAAGAAGGCCUUAUGGUUGUAAAGCACUUUAAGCGAGGAGGAGGCUACUGAAGUUAAUACCUUCAGAUAGUGGACGUUACUCGCAGAAUAAGCACCGGCUAACUCUGUGCCAGCAGCCGCGGUAAUACAGAGGGUGCAAGCGUUAAUCGGAUUUACUGGGCGUAAAGCGCGCGUAGGCGGCUAAUUAAGUCAAAUGUGAAAUCCCCGAGCUUAACUUGGGAAUUGCAUUCGAUACUGGUUAGCUAGAGUGUGGGAGAGGAUGGUAGAAUUCCAGGUGUAGCGGUGAAAUGCGUAGAGAUCUGGAGGAANACCGAUGGCGANNNAGCCAUCUGGNCCUAACACUGACGCUGNNNUGCGAAAGCAUGGGGAGCAAACNGNAUUAGAUA